rnacentral:lncRNA from 1 species
UAAAGAAGAGAAAAUUAAUAUUUUUUAUCUUGAAAACUAAAGUAAAAGGGCCACCCGAAGUGUUUAUAAGUCAUUUAAGGGGUAAAAAAUACCAAAAGCCCCUCACCCAAAGCUGAAAAAUAACAAAUUGGGUGAAAUUAAAUAGUGGUAUAGCACGCACCAUGCCACGCCCUUAUCACGGAUGUCAGACUCUGUGGCACGCCUUUAUCGUGGAGGCUUACUGCCUCGGGGGCCCAAAAUAACCCCGAACACUUUCACAAAAUCUCAAAAUUUUCUCAAAACACCCUUUUAACAUCCUUAAU